GAGGAAUAAGCAUCGGCUAACUACGUGCCAGCAGCCGCGGUAAUACGUAGGGUGCAAGCGUUAAUCGGAAUUACUGGGCGUAAAGCGUGCGCAGGCGGUUUUGUAAGUCUGUCGUGAAAUCCCCGGGCUCAACCUGGGAAUUGCGAUGGAGACUGCAAGGCUAGAAUCUGGCAGAGGGGGGUAGAAUUCCACGUGUAGCAGUGAAAUGCGUAGAGAUGUGGAGGAACACCGAUGGCGAAGGCAGCCCCCUGGGUCAAGAUUGACGCUCAUGCACGAAAGCGUGG
rnacentral:rRNA from 1 species